AGUAUUGAUAAUACACUACUAACAAAGUAAACGUUGAUUUUCUCUUGAACAAAAAUUUUAUGUAUUAUUAAUAUGCCAGCAAAAUACUUCUGUUCACCUUUUGAAUACAUUCAAAAGGAGAGUGAGUACAAAAGAGAAUUUUCUCAUGCUCUGGGGGGGGCCUGGGUCAGCUCAGGAAGGAAGCCCUGCCUGUAAAGGCUGCAGCUUAGGCUGUCUCUCUUCACUUAGCCCAGCAUCUGAUCACAUCUUCUGUCACUCAGGGCCUGAGGGGCGGGACCUAAAGCAUUAUCCAAUCAGAGACGCUGGGCUGGAAACCGUCCAAUCAGGCACGCAGCUGGAGCGACGAGGACGGCUUUCCGCUUUUGGCGCGGCCUUUGUCUCUAGCUGCAGCCGGCGUUUCAGGUCUCGUCUUCACUGGUCUGUGUCCUAUUCUCCUGGAGGCCCAGCCUCUGUGGCCCUGUGACCUGCAGGUAUUGGGAGAUCCACAGCUAAAACCCCAGGACACCCUGGAAGCAUAGAAAUGGCUUAAUACUUAGAAAGUGCUAGAGCAGCCUCUAUUAGGGGAUCUCUUCUCUGAUUGUACUCCACUUGCUGUAACACCAAAGGAUGCAGAACCAGGUUCUGUAGCAGAAAUUGCUGGUGUCUGUGGCAGGGGAGGGCACCUGAGGACAGGGAAGAAGAAACAUAUUUUUAUCUUUAUGGAGCAGCACAUUGUUCCCAAAUACCUUCUGCUUUAAGGGACAGAAAUGGAUGGACUUUUUCUGUCUUUUCUGCCAGUUGAUGUCAUGCUUGCAGGUAAACAUGUGGUACUGACACCCUUAAAGGCAUAUUCUCAAGAGGCAGGUAAAAAACCAAUUCCAAAAAAGUAUUGCAACAAAAGGAAGCACCAAAUAACUAUAAUAUCUUUAUGGCUUGCAAAAAUAUAGGCAGAAAAGGGCUUUCUUUUCUAGGGAAGAGCAAACAAGAUUAGAAAGGAGGUGGGAGAGGAACAGCAAAUGGAGGGUGAAAAAGUCAGAUUUUAGAUCAGAGAAUGGCUUACCCUGAAAUCAGCAUGUUCUUAGGAGGGACAUAAAAUGGGGUUGUAUGUUGACUCAGACUGAGGGUAGCUUGAAUUUCAGGAGCCUGAGAGAAGAUAAACUUAAGUAAAAUUUGAUUAAGAAAUAUUUUAUUUUAGGCUGGGUGUGGUGGCUCAAGUCUGCAAUCCCAGCACUUUGGGAGGCUGAG
rnacentral:lncRNA from 1 species